rnacentral:rRNA from 1 species
UGCGGUUAUACAAAAAUUAAAAUAAAUUUUUUUAGAGAUUAAUUAAUAUUAAAUAAGUUAUAUAUUAUAAUUUAAAUUUUAUAUUAUUAAGUGAAAUUUUAAUUUAAAUAAAAAUUAUUUUAUUUUAUGAAAUUAAUAAAUUUUAAUUUUAAACUAGGAUUAGAUACCCUAUUAUUGAAAAUUUAAAUUGAUAAUUCUAAAAUAUUAGAUAUUUUUAUUGAAACUUAAAUAAUUUGGCGGUAUUUUAGUUCAUUUAGAGGAAUCUGUCUAAUAAUUGAUAAUCCACGAAUAAAUUUACUUAGUUUAUUAUUUUGUAUAUCGUUGUUAAAAAAAUAUUUUUCUAUAAAAAUAAUAUUUUAGAAUUUAGAUAAUAAAUUAAAUCAGAUCAAGAUGCAGAUUAUAACUAAGAAUAUGAUGGAUUACAAUAAAUUUAUUUAAGUGAAUAUUAAUAUGAAAAAAUUAAUUGAAAAUGGAUUUAAAUGUAAUUUUUAUUAAUUUAUAAAAAUGAUUAAUAAUUAAAAUAUGUACAUAUUGCCCGUCGCUUUCAUUUAUAAAUUGAAAUAAGUCGUAACAAAGUAGAGGUACUGGAAAGUGUUUCUAGAAAGAA